rnacentral:tRNA from 3 species
GGCGGAUGUACCCAAGUGAAUCAAGGCAGU